rnacentral:rRNA from 1 species
AGAGUUUGAUCCUGGCUCAGGAUGAACGCUGGCGGCGUGCCUAAUACAUGCAAGUCGAGCGAACGGAUGAGAAGCUUGCUUCUCUGAUGUUAGCGGCGGACGGGUGAGUAACACGUGGAUAACCUACCUAUAAGACUGGGAUAACUUCGGGAAACCGGAGCUAAUACCGGAUAAUAUUUUGAGCCGCAUGGUUCAAAAGUGAAAGACGGUCUUGCUGUCACUUAUAGAUGGAUCCGCGCUGCAUUAGCUAGUUGGUAAGGUAACGGCUUACCAAGGCAACGAUGCAUAGCCGACCUGAGAGGGUGAUCGGCCACACUGGAACUGAGACACGGUCCAGACUCCUACGGGAGGCAGCAGUAGGGAAUCUUCCGCAAUGGGCGAAAGCCUGACGGAGCAACGCCGCGUGAGUGAUGAAGGUCUUCGGAUCGUAAAACUCUGUUAUUAGGGAAGAACAUAUGUGUAAGUAACUGUGCACAUCUUGACGGUACCUAAUCAGAAAGCCACGGCUAACUACGUGCCAGCAGCCGCGGUAAUACGUAGGUGGCAAGCGUUAUCCGGAAUUAUUGGGCGUAAAGCGCGCGUAGGCGGUUUUUUAAGUCUGAUGUGAAAGCCCACGGCUCAACCGUGGAGGGUCAUUGGAAACUGGAAAACUUGAGUGCAGAAGAGGAAAGUGGAAUUCCAUGUGUAGCGGUGAAAUGCGCAGAGAUAUGGAGGAACACCAGUGGCGAAGGCGACUUUCUGGUCUGUAACUGACGCUGAUGUGCGAAAGCGUGGGGAUCAAACAGGAUUAGAUACCCUGGUAGUCCACGCCGUAAACGAUGAGUGCUAAGUGUUAGGGGGUUUCCGCCCCUUAGUGCUGCAGCUAACGCAUUAAGCACUCCGCCUGGGGAGUACGACCGCAAGGUUGAAACUCAAAGGAAUUNAAGAAAAGAACAUUUUAACUACGGAAGUGGUAUUAACUAAUAACUAGUAUCCUUUAUAAAUAAACAUAAAAAUAUUCAAACGAAGGUCUACUAAAUAACUAUCCAUAAAGUGAGUAUAAGUUUGUUUGUAAAACUGAAGUAAAAAGCAUAAGGAAUUACACUUUAAAUACAUAUAGUACUUACGAAUAGAAAAUAAUCCCUUCAACAGUAAUUUUUAAACAAAAAUAAGUGUUGUUUUAUGUUGACUCUACUAGAAUAACUUGAUAUUAUAUAAAAGUCGUCAAACGGCACUAAUAUUUAAAAAACAAAUGUUUUAAGUUGUUGAUUUAAAAUAUUAAUAAAGUGUAAAUUUGACUAUUGAAAUUCGAACAAAUACAUAAUAAAAUAAUAUUUGUUGAAUUAAUUGAGUUAGGAAAUUUAUUUUUUAGAAAUAAAAUAAUUAAAAAUAAUUCUUGACUUACAAAAACUUACGAGUUAUAAUUAAAUCUUGUAAGUGACAAACGAACAUUGAAAACUGAAUGACAAUAUGUCAACGUUAAUUUCAAAAACGU